UACGAAGGGGCUAGCGUUGCUCGGAAUCACUGGGCGUAAGGUGCGUAGGCGGGUCUUUAAGUCAGAGGUGAAAUCCUGGAGCUCAACUCCCAGAACUGCCUUUGAUACUGAGGAUCUUGAGUACGGGAGAGGUGAGUGGAACUGCGAGUGUAGAGGUGAAAUUCGUAGAUAUUCGCAAGAACACCAGUGGCGAAGGCGGCUCACCUGGCCCGU
rnacentral:rRNA from 1 species